rnacentral:lncRNA from 12 species
AAAAAAGUCCUGCUUCCAUUCCUUGGCAGGAGGCAACUGCCAGAAACCCAACUGCCAGGUCUCUUCCUUUCCACCCCAAAGGACCAGGAAUCUCCCUCCCGCUGGGUCUGACCACGACCGUGCCCUCGGCUCACACGCACUCACGGAGAGCUCCCCAGUACCCCAGGGCCGGGCACGGAGCAGCACCAGCCACGGCGCAGGGCUGGGCCAGCUGCAGGCCGAGCGGGCCCAGUUGUGGCGAGCGCAGCCACGGCGGGACUGUCCCGCAGCCCCCGGCACAGGCGGCACAGCUCCCGGGCCCUGCCGGCACAGAUCCUCGGCCCUGCCGGCACAGCUGCCUUGCCCCAGGACAGCCCCUGUGCCGGCCGAUCGGGCGGGCCAGGGCGUGGCGAGCGCAGCCACGGCGGGACUGUCCCGCAGCCCCCGGCACAGCCGGCACAGCUCCCGGGCCCUGCGGGACAGGCCCCUGUGCCGGCCGGGGCAGCUGCGCAGAGCAGCCCCAGCACGGGCGGGGCCGCUCCCGCCCCUGUGCCGGCCGAGGCAUCACGGCCACAGCCCACGACACCCUUGGCGCCCACAGCUCGCAGCCCGUCUCACCGGCUCCGGGGGAGCACUGCCCACGGCCACAGCCCACGGCACCCCUGGCGCCCGCAGCUCGCAGCCCGUCUCACCGGCUCCGGGGGGCUGCCCGGCACAGAAGGCGGGCAGCGGCCGCUCCGUGUGCAGCUGCUGGAAGCGGCUGGGCUGGCGGCUGCGCACCUCCAGCCCCGCCGCCAGCCGCUGCCUGUUGGCCCUGGUCAGGCGCUGGAUGCGGAGCAGCAGUUCGGGGCGGUCGCGUACGAAGUUGGCAUUCCUGAAGUGGAGCCAGCCGCCGGCAUCGCCCGGCACCUUGUGGAAGCCGUAGAGAUUGAGCUGGCGCACGAAGCUGCCGAAGCGCGUGGCUUGGAAGGAGUCUGGGCCCGGCCCCGGCCCCGCCCCUUCGCCGCCCGCUCCGUGGGCGCCGCCCGGGCUGAGCAGCUCCCGCUCCAGCAGGGAGCGGUCGAUGAGCAGCCCCUGGCCCCGGCUGUCCCAGCGCACGGAGCGGAUGCCGGCGCUGUUCACCAG